GGAUCCAGACUUUGAUCAUGGCUCAGGAUGAACGCUAGCUACAGGCUUAACACAUGCAAGUCGAGGGGAAACGACAUCGAAAGCUUGCUUUUGAUGGGCGUCGACCGGCGCACGGGUGAGUAACGCGUAUCCAACCUGCCCAUCACUUGGGAAUAACCUUGCGAAAGUAAGACUAAUACCCAAUGAUAUCCCACGAAGGCAUCCGAAUGGGAUUAAAGAUUUAUCGGUGAUGGAUGGGGAUGCGUCUGAUUAGCUUGUUGGCGGGGUAACGGCCCACCAAGGCAACGAUCAGUAGGGGUUCUGAGAGGAAGGUCCCCCACAUUGGAACUGAGACACGGUCCAAACUCCUACGGGAGGCAGCAGUGAGGAAUAUUGGUCAAUGGGCGAGAGCCUGAACCAGCCAAGUAGCGUGCAGGAUGACGGCCCUAUGGGUGUAAACUGCUUUUAUAAGGGAAUAAAGUGGGUCACGUGUGACUUUUUGCAUGUACCUUAUGAAUAAGGACCGGCUAAUUCCGUGCCAGCAGCCGCGGUAAUACGGAAGGUCCGGGCGUUAUCCGGAUUUAUUGGGUUUAAAGGGAGCGUAGGCCGGGGAUUAAGCGUGUUGUGAAAUGUAGAGGCUCAAUCUCUGCACUGCAGCGCGAACUGGUCUUCUUGAGUACGCACAACGUGGGCGGAAUUCGUGGUGUAGCGGUGAAAUGCUUAGAUAUCACGAAGAACUCCGAUUGCGAAGGCAGCUCACGGGAGCGCAACUGACGCUGAAGCUCGAAAGUGCGGGUAUCGAACAGGAUUAGAUACCCUGGUAGUCCGCACGGUAAACGAUGGAUGCCCGCUGUUGGCCUGAAUAGGUCAGCGGCCAAGCGAAAGCAUUAAGCAUCCCACCUGGGGAGUACGCCGGCAACGGUGCAACUCAAAGGAAUUGACGG
rnacentral:rRNA from 1 species